rnacentral:rRNA from 1 species
CCCUUCGAUGUUCUGGGCCGCACGCGCGCUACACUGUUCCGUCCAGACGGUGUCUUUCCGGUCCUGAUCGGUGCCUCGCACCGAGCUCUAGAGGGCCCGGCAAUCCCUGAACGCGGAACGUGAUUGGGAUUGGCCUUUGCAAUUUUGGGCCAUGAACGAGGAAUUUCUAGUAAACGCGCUUCAUCACAGCGCAUUGAUUACGUCCCUGUGGAUUGUACACACCGCCCGUCGCACCUACCGAUUGGGCAAUCCGGUGAGGCCUUUGGACUUUCUUUGGAGAGGAAGAAGCUCGAACCUUAUUGCCUAGAGGAAGGUGAAGUCGUANCA